CGCGUAGGUGGUAGUGCAAGUCUGGGGUGGAAUCCCAGGGCUUAACCCUGGAACUGCCCUGGAAACUGUAUUACUUGAGUCAGUGAGGGGAGGGUAGAAUUCCCGGUGUAGCGGUGAAAUGCGUAGAUAUCGGGAGGAAGGCCUGUGGCGAAGGCGGCCCUCUGGCGCUGAACUGACACUGAGGCGCGAAAGCGUGGGUAGCAAACAGGAUUAGAUACCCUGGUAGUCCACGCCCUAAACGGUGGGUACUAGGUGUAGGGCUCGUAAGGGUUCUGUGCCGAAGCGAAAGCAUUAAGUACCCCGCCUGGGGAGUACGGCCGCAAGGUUGAA
rnacentral:rRNA from 1 species